AUGCACAGAUCUAGGGACUGAAGUCCUUCAUCUGCAAACACAGCAUAGGCAGUGGUGGCACAAGCUUACCCAGACUGCUCUGCCAAUGUGCCUCAACCCUGACAUUAAGGGACAACAACCAGGAGUGAGAGGAUAGAUUUAGUCACUGUGCCCAUUCAUUCCUCAGCUUCU
rnacentral:sRNA from 1 species